UACGAAGGGAGCUAGCGUUGUUCGGAAUCACUGGGCGUAAAGCGCACGUAGGCGGCUUUGUAAGUUAGAGGUGAAAGCCCAGGGCUUAACCCUGGAAUUGCCUUUAAGACUGCAUCGCUCGAAUUGUGGAGAGGUGAGUGGAAUUCCGAGUGUAGAGGUGAAAUUCGUAGAUAUUCGGAAGAACACCAGUGGCGAAGGCGACUCACUGGACACAUAUUGACGCUGAGGUGCGAAAGCGUGGGGAGCAAACGGG
rnacentral:rRNA from 1 species